rnacentral:tRNA from 1 species
GCCCACGUAGCUCAGUUGGUAGAGCACGUCCUUGGUAAGGACGAGGUCACCGUUCGAUCCGGCUCGUGGGCUCCA